AGUCACUGACACUUAGAUACCCGGGUAGUCCCAGCCGUAAACAAUGUGCGUUAGGUGUGUCGGUAACCACGCGUUACUGAUGCGCCGAAGAGAAAUCGUGAAACGCACCACCUGGGAAGUACGGUCGCAAGGCUGAAACUUAAAGGAAUUGGCGGGGAGCACCACAACAGGUGGAGCCUGCGGUUUAAUUGGAUUCAACGCCGGACAUCUCACCGGAUAAGACAGCUGAAUGAUUGUCAAUCUGAAGGUUUUACAUGACCAGCUG
rnacentral:rRNA from 1 species